CCCUUAGAUGUCCUGGGCUGCACGCGCGCUACACUGAUGUGUCCAGUAAGCACCUAACCUCUUCCGAAAGGAACGGGUAACCUUUGCAAAGCACAUCGUGAUGGGGAUAGAUUAUUGCAAUUAUUAGUCUUGAACGAGGAAUUCCUAGUAAGCACAAGUCAUCAGCUUGUGUUGAUUACGUCCCUGCCCUUUGUACACACCGCCCGUCGCUCCUACCGAUUGAAUGUUCCGGUGAGCUCUUCGGACUGCGCGGUCUGCAGUUUCUGCGUUCCGUGCGGAAAGUUGCGCAAACCUUAACAUUUAGAGGAAGGAGAAGUCGUAUCA
rnacentral:rRNA from 1 species